AUCUCACUUAAAUGUAUGUAAACGAUGUCCGGAUCCAUCAUCCAACCCAUCGUUGGUUAGGUAAUCGAGAGACCUUGUAACCUAUCGCUUGUACGUAGUACAAUCUCUGGUCACAAUGCUUCGCAUCAUCCUGUCAAACUGAACCGUAGGGACAAGUUAGGAUAUUGUAAUCAACCAUUACACUUAAACAACAUACAAAACAUGGUAUCCCUAUUCCUAAAACGGUUAGCACGACUCACAUCUCUUUGAGCAAUUUUCGAAAUACGCAAGAACAAAGACUUAAAAUUAAUAAAAGGGACUUCGUCAUUUUGAAUCGUCCUCAUUUGCCGCUACCGACUAGAGUCCGUUACACAUACUCUGGUCAAACGAAGAAUUUGUGAUCGUUUUGUAAUUUAAAGUGCUGUGAAUAUCUGUUAUUUGUACCCAGCAUUCCUGUAGCCGGCGAAAUGGUAAAUUUAGUUCUUGUAUUUUUGAGUCGUGUCUAAUUAGUGUCUUAAUUGUUAAUUGUAGUGUCAGGGAGUUGGUCCCAACCCGCACCAUCCAAACUAACCGUCAAGGACCGCGCUCUACGUCAAAAGUGGUCGUUUGGUUGGUGGUGCAAGGAGGUAACAAAAAUGUGAACCUCCAAGUUGGCAGAGCGCGCCAACCCGAGAAUCUGUUAGAGCGCAAUGGCGGAGGCCAUCCGGUUUUUAUCCAAGACAAAGACACAAAACCAAAGACACCAAAACCGUUGCUGUGCCAGGCCUGGCCGGAGGAAGAUUCUCCGACUUGACUCGACCACCGCGGGAUACACUAGAACACACGAACACACACA